GAGUACAUAGUUUAAAAGGAGAAAAAUACGUCUAAGACACGGACGAGUUGCAGGUUCAAAUCCUGCUGUACUCC
rnacentral:tRNA from 1 species